rnacentral:tRNA from 1 species
GAAGGGGGUAGCGAAGGGGCUAAACGCGGCCGAACUGUAAAUCCGCUUCCUUCAGGGUUCGGCGGUUCGAAUCCGUCCCCCUCCACCA